AGAGUUUGAUCCUGGCUCAGGAUGAACGCUAGCUACAGGCUUAACACAUGCAAGUCGAGGGGCAGCAUGGUCUUAGCUUGCUAAGGGCGAUGGCGACCGGCGCACGGGUGAGUAACACGUAUCCAACCUGCCGUCUACUCUUGGACAGCCUUCUGAAAGGAAGAUUAAUACAAGAUGGCAUCAUGAGUCCGCAUGUUCACAUGAUUAAAGGUAUUCCGGUAGACGAUGGGGAUGCGUUCCAUUAGAUAGUAGGCGGGGUAACGGCCCACCUAGUCUUCGAUGGAUAGGGGUUCUGAGAGGAAGGUCCCCCACAUUGGAACUGAGACACGGUCCAAACUCCUACGGGAGGCAGCAGUGAGGAAUAUUGGUCAAUGGGCGAGAGCCUGAACCAGCCAAGUAGCGUGAAGGAUGACUGCCCUAUGGGUUGUAAACUUCUUUUAUAAAGGAAUAAAGUCGGGUAUGCAUACCCGUUUGCAUGUACUUUAUGAAUAAGGAUCGGCUAACUCCGUGCCAGCAGCCGCGGUAAUACGGAGGAUCCGAGCGUUAUCCGGAUUUAUUGGGUUUAAAGGGAGCGUAGAUGGAUGUUUAAGUCAGUUGUGAAAGUUUGCGGCUCAACCGUAAAAUUGCAGUUGAUACUGGAUAUCUUGAGUGCAGUUGAGGCAGGCGGAAUUCGUGGUGUAGCGGUGAAAUGCUUAGAUAUCACGAAGAACUCCGAUUGCGAAGGCAGCCUGCUAAGCUGCAACUGACAUUGAGGCUCGAAAGUGUGGGUAUCAAACAGGAUUAGAUACCCUGGUAGUCCACACGGUAAACGAUGAAUACUCGCUGUUUGCGAUAUACAGCAAGCGGCCAAGCGAAAGCGUUAAGUAUUCCACCUGGGGAGUACGCCGGCAACGGUGAAACUCAAAGGAAUUGACGGGGGCCCGCACAAGCGGAGGAACAUGUGGUUUAAUUCGAUGAUACGCGAGGAACCUUACCCGGGCUUAAAUUGCAGAUGAAUUACGGUGAAAGCCGUAAGCCGCAAGGCAUCUGUGAAGGUGCUGCAUGGUUGUCGUCAGCUCGUGCCGUGAGGUGUCGGCUUAAGUGCCAUAACGAGCGCAACCCUUGUUGUCAGUUACUAACAGGUCAUGCUGAGGACUCUGACAAGACUGCCAUCGUAAGAUGUGAGGAAGGUGGGGAUGACGUCAAAUCAGCACGGCCCUUACGUCCGGGGCUACACACGUGUUACAAUGGGGGGUACAGAGGGCCGCUACCACGCGAGUGGAUGCCAAUCCCCAAAACCUCUCUCAGUUCGGACUGGAGUCUGCAACCCGACUCCACGAAGCUGGAUUCGCUAGUAAUCGCGCAUCAGCCACGGCGCGGUGAAUACGUUCCCGGGCCUUGUACACACCGCCCGUCAAGCCAUGGGAGCCGGGGGUACCUGAAGUGCGUAACCGCGAGGAGCGCCCUAGGGUAAAACUGGUGACUGGGGCUAAGUCGUAACAAGGUA
rnacentral:rRNA from 1 species